rnacentral:rRNA from 1 species
GUACGUACAAGCAGUGGGAGCCCCACCACUAAGCCAGUGGUGAACUCCACAUCCGCAUCCUUUGCUGAGGAUACGGUUAACGGAGCGAAAGCGACGUUCAACCGCAAAACAAGCAGAGGGGGCUUAGUGGUGGGGUGACUGCGUACCUUUUGUAUAAUGGGUCAGCGACUUAUAUUCUGUAGCAAGGUUAACCGUAUAGGGGAGCCGGAGGGAAACCGAGUCUUAAUUGGGCGUUAAGUUGCAGGGUAUAGACCCGAAACCCGGUGAUCUAGCCAUGGGCAGGUUGAAGGUUGGGUAACACUAACUGGAGGACCGAACCGACUAAUGUUGAAAAAUUAGCGGAUGACCUGUGGCUGGGGGUGAAAGGCCAAUCAAACCGGGAGAUAGCUGGUUC